UUUGAGACACAGGAGACUCCAGAACAGGUGACCCCAGUGAGCAAGGGCAGGAGACUUCUUUCUCUUCUAUAUGCCAUACAAAACGAAAAGAACUGUGUAUAUGCGAAAGCCAAUGUCUUCUAGGGAUUCUCAGCAAAUAUCAGGAUGAACUUUGGAAUGGAAGACAUAUUAGUACUUUGUUUUUGCAAGCUAUCAUGCAAGGAAAAGAUAAACAACUAGCAGGAGUCAUGUAAAUACAGCUGGACUUUCCAGUGAUGUCAUCGUGUUUCACUCCUUGUUUGCACUCUUCCCCAAUAAAUACAUCCAGGUUUCAUUACCAUGUCCACUCUGCCAAAAAGAAAACUGCAGAUGAAGAGCAGAAGGUCAAUAACUUGCCCAAGGUCAAAUAGCUAUAAGCAGUGGAUAUAGGGCCCAACUCUAUGGCUAGAGCAUUAUCCAUUAUAUUGCCCUGUAAAGUCAAAAUGGAUUCCAAAGCAGGCAAUAAAGCAAAAUUUCAAUGGU